AUGGUCUCCAGCAGACAAGCGCCUGGAAUGAGGCCCAGUGAAAGAUCUGAAGCAGAAAUGGUGUCAUUAGGAGAAGAAGAGAAGAAGAAGUACGGCGAGGAGGCAGCAGCUGUUAAAGAUGAAACACAGCAACUUAGCCCUGAGCUCAGAGAGCUUCACAUGAAAAAGCUCCUCAAGCAGAUCAUGUCAGAGGUUUGUCAUCAACAGGAGGAACUGUUAAUAUCAUAGAAUGAAGGAUGCUUGUCAGUGUCUGGACCCUCCACGCCACACAACCUCACACUUGUCCCCAGGGGCACGGCAAACUUGUAAGCCCUAGUUCAGCUCCCGAAAAAGAUGCUCGAGUUGUUCUUGCGUCAAACAAAAAUGAGUUCUAAUAUGUUUUAUUUUUAAUGUUACUGCGUUGAAGUUAGCACAAUUUAAAAUCAAAAAAUUAUUAGUCUCUUAAAUGAAUGGCAUCUUGUUAGACCGGGGACGGG
rnacentral:lncRNA from 1 species